rnacentral:rRNA from 1 species
CGCGGCCUAUCAGCUUGUUGGUGAGGUAAUGGCUCACCAAGGCUUCGACGGGUAGCCGGCCUGAGAGGGCGACCGGCCACACUGGGACUGAGAUACGGCCCAGACUCCUACGGGAGGCAGCAGUGGGGAAUAUUGCACAAUGGGCGCAAGCCUGAUGCAGCAACGCCGCGUGCGGGAUGACGGCCUUCGGGUUGUAAACCGCUUUCAGUAGGGACGAAGCUAACGUGACGGUACCUACAGAAGAAGGACCGGCUAACUACGUGCCAGCAGCCGCGGUGAUACGUAGGGUCCGAGCGUUGUCCGGAAUUAUUGGGCGUAAAGGGCUUGUAGGCGGUCCGUCGCGUCAGGAGUGAAAACUCGGGGCUUAACCCCGAGCCUGCUUUUGAUACGGGCGGACUAGAGGGAUGCAGGGGAGAACGGAAUUCCUGGUGGAGCGGUGGAAUGCGCAGAUAUCAGGAGGAACACCGGUGGCGAAGGCGGCUCUCUGGGCAUCACCUGACGCUGAGAAGCGAAAGCGUGGGGAGCAAACAGGCUUAGAUACCCUGGUAGUCCACGCCGUAAACGAUGGGUACUAGAUGUGGGAGGUGUCGACUCCUCCCGUAUCGUAGCUAACGCACUAAGUACCCCGCCUGGGGAGUACGG